CAAUUCAGCACCAGCUUUCUCAAUGCCUGUGAUGAGUCGCGUGACGUGACCGAUAUCGAACAGACAGCUCUGCUAUGCAGCUGAUCCGGGCUCAGCGUGUGAAGAAGACUGGCUCCCUUUCGGCUCCAGUUGCUACAAGAAGAUGGAGACCCCCAACGGUUGGCUGGGGGCUCGGCACGACUGCGUCUGGGAGGGCGGCGACCUGGUCUCCGUUGCCUCGUCGGCCGAGGAAGCCUUCGUGAAGGGGAAAAUGGGCGACGUCCCUUUCUGGAUGGGACUCUCCAAUCUGAAUUGCGACGAGGCUUGGUGUCAGUAUGACAAGGAGCAAAAGAAGCUGACUUGGUCCGAUGUCCGCGUG